rnacentral:rRNA from 1 species
AACGCUAGCGGCAGGCCUAAACAUGCAAGUCGAGGGGUAACAGAGAGAAGCUUGCUUUUCUGCUGACGACCGGCGCACGGGUGCGUAACGCGUAUACAAUCUGCCUUAUACAGAGGGAUAGCCUUUAGAAAUGAAGAUUAAUACCUUAUAGUCUAUUUUUAUAGCAUUAUAUAAAUAGUAAAGCUUCGGUGGUAUAAGAUGAGUAUGCGUCCUAUUAGUUAGUUGGUAAGGUAACGGCUUACCAAGACAACGAUAGGUAGGGGCCCUGAGAGGGGGAUCCCCCACACUGGUACUGAGACACGGACCAGACUCCUACGGGAGGCAGCAGUGAGGAAUAUUGGACAAUGGAGGCAACUCUGAUCCAGCCAUGCCGCGUGCAGGAUGACGGCCCUAUGGGUUGUAAACUGCUUUUAUAUAGGAAGAAACCUUUUCACGUGGAGAAGCUGACGGUACUAUAAGAAUAAGG